AUGCAAGUCGAGGGGUAGCAGGAUGUAGCAAUACAUUGCUGACGACCGGCGCACGGGUGAGUAACGCGUAUGCAACCUACCCACUAUAGGGGGAUAGCCCGUUGAAAGACGGAUUAAUACCGCAUAACACUGCAGUCUCGCAUGAGGCCGCAUUUAAAGAUUUAUUGAUAGUGGAUGGGCAUGCGUUCCAUUAGCUAGUUGGUAAGGUAACGGCUUACCAAGACAUCGAUCAUUAGGGGUUCUGAGAGGAAGGUCCCCCACACUGGUACUGAGACACGGACCAGACUCCUACGGGAGGCAGCAGUGAGGAAUAUUGGUCAAUGGGCGAGAGCCUGAACCAGCCAAGUCGCGUGAAGGAAGACGGUUCUAUGGAUUGUAAACUUCUUUUGUAAGGGAAUAAAGUUCACUACGUGUAGUGUUUUGUAUGUACUUUACGAAUAAGGAUCGGCUAACUCCGUGCCAGCAGCCGCGGUAAUACGGAGGAUCCAAGCGUUAUCCGGAUUUAUUGGGUUUAAGGGGUGCGUAGGCGGACCCAUAAGUCAGUGGUGAAAGUUUGCAGCUUAACUGUAAAAUUGCCGUUGAAACUGUGGGUCUUGAGUGUAAAUAAAGUAGGCGGAAUGUGUUGUGUAGCGGUGAAAUGCUUAGAUAUAACACAGAACACCAAUUGCGAAGGCAGCUUACUGGGAUACAACUGACGCUGAGGCACGAAAGCGUGG
rnacentral:rRNA from 1 species